UACGGAGGGUGCAAGCGUUGCUCGGAAUCAUUGGGCGUAAAGCGCACGUAGGCGGCUCGUUAAGUCGGGUGUGAAAGCCCUGGGCUCAACCCAGGAAGUGCAUUCGAAACUGGCGAGCUUGAAUAUGGAAGAGGGUCGCGGAAUUCCCGGUGUAGAGGUGAAAUUCGUAGAUAUCGGGAGGAACACCAGUGGCGAAGGCGGCGACCUGGGCCAAUAUUGACGCUGAGGUGCGAAAGCGUGGGGAGCAAACAGG
rnacentral:rRNA from 1 species